AUGGGCUGGAGAACUUUUUCCUGCCACAAGGUACUGAAGGAUGGACAGGUGACUAACUUGACAUGGGCUGGAAUUCAAACAGCGCAGUCGGUGGACUUAAUGAACGCACACGCACUGGAUUCAGGAGCAAGAGCAGAAGGAAGCCGCAUUAGGACUGCCGGAGCCCAAACUCUCCCUCUUCCCCAUGGAGUUAAUGUCAUGGAAGAGUGUCUGCGCUUCCCUGACCGCACACCCCAAAAGUCUCUAAAUCAUGCUGUUCAGUAGUUUCACCGUCUUCUGCCUCACAGACAGCACUCUGGCCACGAACAGAUGACCUAAUAGCAAAAGACUCUUACAGACACCGACUGAAAAACUUCCCCUUGAAAUAAAACAAAGCAAAAAAUGUGAGGAAGGUAAAGACAUUGUUGUUCUGAAAAUAAAAAAUAAAAACAUUUUAGUGACACUUGUCUCUGAAUAAAAUACCCACACUUGGGUUUCUAAUCUGUGAUUUUAUCACUUCUGUAAAAUGAGGCUUAUUUGCACAGUCAUGUAUGUUUUCAUGAUGUAUAAUCAUGAUCAGAUUUUGUGACGACAACAAGCAACAAAUGCUAAGGGCCUGCGUUUAUUAUAUAUGCAUACAGAUUUUAAUGUAUAUGCUGUACGUAUACAGAACAAGACAGAAAGUCAUUUACAAAGUUGUUCUGAAAUAGUGUGUGAUUUUGCUGUAUUUUAUUUUCAAAAAAGAAAUAAAAUCUUUAAAGUAGUAUUGGGCAAAAAUAUAUACCGGAACGUUUAUUAUUCAUUACUUUGAAGGCAAUGAAAAAAACCAUUACCUUACAAAGUAUACGUGUUAUUGUUUUCCUAUGUUUUUCCUUUGUUAAGCUCUGUGUGUCUAUCUGUAUGCAUAUAUGCUGUCCAUACAUACACGCGUGAUCGCACUUGUACUAAUUAUUACUUUAGUCUUAAAAUCGUUCAACUCACUAAUUUUUUAGUUUUUAAUUUUUUAGGUUUAUUUAUUUAUUUUGGGGGGGAGUAGGAGGAGGGGCAGAGAGGAAGGGAGGGAGAGAGUCUGAAGCAGACUCCCUGGUGAAUGCAGAGCCUGACUCGAGACUCAAUCCCACACCCCCAAGAUCAUGAUAUGAGCCAAAACAAAGAGUCAGAUGCUUGACCUGAGCCACCCAGGCACCUCUCAACUCACUUUUUAAAAGCCAGUUCUUACUACUCUGCAUUAUGGGACUGAGUGGCAAGUUCCAGUUUUAGUAGAGAUGGUUAUCUGAGCCAACUGAAUGAAAUAAACCUCUACCAAGAGCCAUAACAAAAGAAGAGUAGUAACAAGGGGUGUAGUUGGAGAUUUAAUCUGGAAUGGGAUAUGCAGUGCUCCAUCAGUAACUACGAUGAUCUUUAAGGAGACAGAAUUGCAUUUACACAUAUCAUAAAUGAUGUUUAUUUAUUCAUUUUUCUCUUCCCAGAAACCCCAGCUCUUUUCCAACCUGCCUAUUAUCAUAAAAGACUCGGUUUGCAGUCUGAAGAAACAUGUUUGAGAUGUUAAGCUGAAUAUUUUUUUUUUUGCUGGAAGUAACAGUUCUCAAUGGAAAAUAGUGAGCAGAAUUACAUACAAUAAUGGGUUCUACGAAUGGCAAGUCAAGUAGCAAUACAGUAUUUCCUGUCUAGGAAAUGGUUUCUUAGUGUGUUGGGUGUGAGAAAGGAACCACGUUUUGCUAUAUACAGAAAUGAUUAACAGUGCCUCUAGAAUUCUUUCUAAAACAUAAAUAUAAUUAUGCCAUAAACUGCUUAAAAUGGUUCUUGCUGUCUUCUGGCCCUCAUUCUAGCUCCCCAGGCAACUGCAAGGCUCGUCCCUGCUUUGCAGAGCUAACUGCAUCCUCUCUUAAUCUCCCACUCUACAGAGCCCCUCACUUGCAUUUUUGCCUCCACUUCUUCUUCGUUACUACUCCCCAGAGAUGUCCAUACACCUCUACACUUUUUCCCAGGAUGCUCUUUUGUCCGCCCGGAAUAUUUUGGUCUCUCUUUACAACAUGACAGAAUCUCAUGCAUCCUUUAAAGCCCAAGUGGAUUAUCCCAUAAUUUCUGAAUCUUCCUGCAAGGCCUCUGUGCUGGGGAGGAUGAAAGGAAAGAGGAAGGGAACAAGGAAGGGGUUAGGGUAAAAACAGUGAUUUCCAUGUCAUUCCUUGAUUAGAACUUCCAAAUAUCUGCAGAGUCUGGAGAGUAUACUCCUCUAGGACAAACAUGGAACCUAGCUCACCCUCGCUAUCAGCCAGAACCGGGAGAUCUGUGCUCUUCUACACAACUGAUGAUUUUAAGAAAUCAUUCAGCUAGUUCCAGCAAUUCCACAAAUAAGUAAUUAAUACAGGUUGAGGACAUUUUUUUCUUUACAUCUGACUAGAAUACUUUUUUUUCCUUCCUAUUAUGACCCUGGCUCUUGUGUAAGAAAACAAAAUAACACAAAGAAAGAAAACGGAAAAAAAAAAAAAAAAGGCAGAGAGGGUCUCUACUUACAUAGAGAAGAAUUCCUGAACUUAGAACUACUAGCUCAAGUCAGACAGACGACUCUCAUAACUGACAUUCCGCCUUAAAC
rnacentral:lncRNA from 1 species